rnacentral:rRNA from 1 species
CCUACGGGUGGCUGCAGUGAGGAAUAUUGGUCAAUGGGCGUAAGCCUGAACCAGCCAUCCCGCGUGCAGGAAGAAGGCGCUAUGCGUCGUAAACUGCUUUUCCAGGGGAAGAAAACCCGCUACGUGUAGUGGCUUGCCGGUACCCUGGGAAUAAGCAUCGGCUAACUCCGUGCCAGCAGCCGCGGUAAUACGGAGGAUGCGAGCGUUAUCCGGAUUAAUUGGGUUUAAGGGGUGCUAAUACGGCAGUAGUGAAAACCUUCAGCUUAACUGGAGACUUGCCAUUGAUACUGUUAGUCUUGAGUACGGUCAAGGUAGGCGGAAUGUGUAAUGUAGCGGUGAAAUGCUUAGAUAUUACACAGAACACCGAUUGCGAAGGCAGCUUACUGGGCCAUUACUGACGCUGAUGCACGAAAGCGUGGGGAGCGAACAGGAUUAGAUACCCCGGUAGUC